GCCGUGCCCGAGCGGGCACAAAUGAAGAUUCCCCAAGGCUUCCGUAACCACCUGCGGCCCGAGACCUCCUGCGUUUUCCUCAUUCUGAGCUUGAACUGGAGGUUUACGAGGAUGCUGUGAAGCUGCUGAAGCUCUGCAACCAGGAACGGAAGAUCUCUGAGCUUGUCUCUCUUCUGAGCUUGGCUCUCUUCUGCCAUCAGCUGGAGAACAUGAUCCUUAACGAGCAAGGAAACCCUACCCAAUGAAGGAUUGAUUCUCAUGGGUGUAUGAAGGAAUGAAGGGAUAACUACAGAACAAGAAGCUGCUGGAAUUCUUUCAGGCUAGCUCCUGGAAGCCACUGUAGCUGUUUAUACACACUAAAUGUAAUGUUUGCUGUUAUGAAAGUCCAUCCAGAAGCCAAAAUACAUACCCUUCUGUCCUCCCUGGAAUAACAGCUCUGUUCAGAUGAAAGGUUUUGAAAGAAUGCUGAAGUUGAAAGGAAGGUGACAGAUCAAAUACGUGGAGGAGCAAUGCACACUCUGCCUCUCUCGUGAAGAAGAGAACUGAAGUAUGAUCCAGUAGAUGAGACAGAUUAAGAAGAGCUUAAGGCUUUUCCAGAUAACUGAACUCUUUCUUAAAGGUGGCCACUUCCUGGGUAGAAACCUUCAGAACUUCUGCUCCAUGGUUGAAUGUUAAUACCCAGGACUAUUAAGUUUUGCCUCCGUUAGUUCCUUUAAACCUUGGCUAUUCAGUAGAGCUGAUCAGCCACCUGCUGUGGACAUUCCUGGGAGAUCCAAGCUCAAACAGAAAUACCUGGCUUGUGAAGCUGUUCUGCCCAAACAGUGCACCAAGACUACAACAGAGAAACAAACGAUCUGUCUUUUUUUUUUUUCUUUUCAAUUCAUUGCAGUUCCUCCUUUCUUGAGGUGUGUGUGGGGAGACCUGACAAGAAGCACUCGAAAGAUGCUGGUUUUCUGGAGAUGGUGUUUAUGGGCUCUCACUGUUGGUAUUAGCAGUCAGCUGGGUCAAGUGGCACAGACCACACCAUGCUUGUUUUCUGAAGGUGUUGUCAUUUAUAGCGAUCAUUAGUGCAACUUUACACUCAUCGAGUUACUCAAACACUGAAAACUUGUACUGGUUUUGUAGCUAUUUACAUUAACAGUGUAUUUUAGCAAUUUCUUUCUUAGGACUUUAGGGAGUAUGAUAAAUGCUUGGUAGGUCACCCUAGCAAUUUUCAGUGUUUGGCAGCUCUUGAAAAUCUGAGUCAUAUCCUUUGCUGUUUCAAAGUUUCACUGUUGAACUCCCUCUUAGUACUGGGCACCUCCCCACUCCAGCAGUACCCAUACCUACCUGUACACCACAAAACAUUUAUCGUACUAUCCCAAGUGAACUCUCUCUGCAAAUGUGACAGUUUUCUAAGCAGUCAAGGUCCGGUUUUGAGCAAAACUCUAACUAAAUACUGAGCUUGCUUCCCUUGGUGUUUUGGGGGUUUGUUGUUAAUAUAUAUAUUUUUUUUAGUGAUUACAUUCAUAUGAGCCAAAAGAAUUUUAAAUCAAGAUGCUGCAAAUCCACCUGUAACUCUUCCUACAAAAUUGAUGCAAUUACUGCAAGUAAUUACAAGUUAGCAAAUUUACAGAAUCAGUAUUUUCUUGUAGGCGACAGAAGAACAGAACAAACAGACAAAAUUAUCAAACGUACUUAGUUAGUCUAAAACUGUGCUAUUACUUCUGAUAAUUAGGUUUGGGUCUUUUGCUGUUUACGUAAUAAAUUUCUGGCGGAUUUGUUACUGACAAUUGAUCAUACUGUGCUUUGUAGCAAAACAUGUAGCAAGAUAAACCAUUAGAUGCAGCUGAGCCUCCUGGCACACGAAUAAAUAGCAGAAAAAUUGUAUUGUA